GAUGAAGAACGUAGCGAAAUGCGAUAAGUAAUGUGAAUUGCAGAAUUCAGUGAAUCAUCGAAUCUUUGAACGCACAUUGCGCCCGCCAGUAUUCUGGCGGGCAUGCCUGUUCGAGCGUCAUUUCAACCCUCAAGACCCCUUCGGGGGACUUGGUGUUGGGGACCGGCACAGGGGCCUGCCUGCUUGUCUUGCAGCGCCCUCGCCGCCCCCGAAAUGAAUUGGCGGCCUCGUCGCGGCCCCCCCUGCGUAGUAGCACAAACCUUGCAACGGGAACGUGACGGCGGCCACUGCCGUAAAACAACCCAAUUUUAUUAGAGUUGACCGCGAAUCAGGUAGGAAUACCCGCUGAACUUAAGCAUAUCAAUAAGCGGAGGA
rnacentral:misc_RNA from 1 species